rnacentral:rRNA from 1 species
CAGUAGCCACGGGAAUACGUAGGGUGCGAGCGUUAGUCGGAAUUACUGGGCGUAAAGCGUGCGCAGGCGGUGAGUUAAGUCUGCUGUGAAAUCCCCGGGCUCAACCUGGGAAUGGCAGUGGAUACUGGCUCGCUAGAGUGUGUCAGAGGAUGGUGGAAUUCCCGGUGUAACGGUGAAAUGCGUAGAGAUCGGGAGGAACAUCAGUGGCGAAGGCGGCCAUCUGGGACAACACUGACGCUGAGGCACGAAAGCGUGGGGAGCAAACAGGAUUAGAUACCCCUGUAGUCCCUGUCUCUUAUAC